ensembl:lncRNA
GUGGAAGAAAUCUGGUUUCCCACUAGGUGGUGGAGGAGAGCUUGACUGAAAACCCUCCUGCUUCCCAUAGCCGAGCACAAGGGAAGCGGGGCUUGCAUAUAAUUAAACCCGGCUGUUUUAUCCCAGAUUCCAGUAGAGCCCAAUCCACCACGGGUGCUGGUGCAGGAGCCAGAGGGAAAGCAGUGGGGAGGUCCUGGUUGCCACUGGCUCCACUGCAAAGGCACAGCGUUUUUGUCACCUGUGGGUGUUUUAUGACACUUUAACGGAUGGUGUUUGGAAAUACGGUCAAACUCAGAUGCACUGGCAGCUCCCUUAAUCCAAGGUAGGACAUGGACAGCAUGAAUGAAGAGAGGAGGAGGCUGACAGCAAGAGAUUUGCCACCUCAGGCAGGUGAUGUUUCCCACUGAGACCUCCAGUGCUUCCUGGGAGAGGAGAAAAGUGGCACAGACCUGGUACUCAGGUCUCAGCUGGCUCCAUACUUCCUACAUAGUGACUGUCUUGUGUGAAAAGGGAAGGCGCUGGAAGCCCCAUCACCUUGUGCUAAAAUGUGGAUCUAGAGGCAGGCCAUGGAUGGAUGUGCGCCAGGGUGAAGCAGAGCUCCAAAGGAGUGUGAUACAGAGAUGGAUUACGCAGUCUCAAGCAGGACUGACAAAGUGACCUAGCUGAUGUGGCUUGUGGUCACGAGCAACAAAUUCAGCAGUGAUAUUCCUGGGUAUGGAGCUCAGGUAUUGCAUCUGUACCAAGGAGGCACAAGGGGCCGUUGAGCUGUAGCUCUCUAACUCCUCUGCAAGGCUCAGGAGAUGUGGGAUGCUUUGCUGUUGGCUUGAUAGGAGGAAAUGCUGCUUUCCUGUGAGUGAGUGAAGUUAACCCAAGACAUAGUUUUCAGCACAGAAACACCUUUCCAGCUCUGUUUCAUGGAGAAGAGACCCAACAGCUCCCUGCGAGCUGACCUGAAGCUGCAGGAAUAUUCUGAGGUGGAGUCACGACUAUUAAAGCAAAAACAAGAUGAUGCAAGGACGCAGCUCACUUGGUGUCAGCCUUUCCUGCGGAAACACAAAGAGGGUUUGUUGAUGCCACGUGUAGGCUGCCUCAGGUCGAGUCAUAUUUCUUUCUUUAUGGAGAUGAAGUUAGUCUUUAAGGCACCAGCUCAAAAUGGCCUUUCUUUCAUUACAAAGUUAUUUAGUUACGGCUCCAAAUGUACUAAUUUGGAGGAAAGCCUGAGUCCUCCUGAAGCUGGCAGGACUCCUUGUCAACAUGCACAAAACCCCAGAGCAGAUGGGCACAGAUUUUGGCUAAGCACAGCAGCAGUUGUUGAGUAUUACAGUCUGUCAUCUCAUCCAGGAGCAUCCCAGCAGCUGCCUUUGCUUCUCCCUUUACUGAGAGGUGUCAGUGUGCCUCUCCUUGCACCCAGCAUCGCACUGCUGCCACUGAAGUUUUGAUUUCUAUGGCCAAGAAUGUUUUCUAUUGCAAUCUCAGCUCUUGCUUUUAAAAGCCAUACAGAGAAAUGACAUACAUUCAAGUGUAGACAUGUUUCUUCAACAGCUCAUGCUUGCCCUUCCAUAACUUUCAUGUCCUAAGGAUCAUGGAAAACCUGGUAGUACAUUACUUUCAGUAGGCUGCCAGAAAGAGAGUUCAUUUAGUUUGAUGACAGAUUAAUACUGAUUCACAAAUUAAUUUUGUCUCUUUGUAUAUCAAGGGUGUCCACAACUUAUUUAAUUUGUAAUAAAUAUAAUUAUAGAAAUGAAUGAGCUAUCAAGAUUUUUAAAGUAUGAUCCAUCAAUGUUGGCAUGACUUGUAAUCCUGGUCAUUAUAAAUAAAAU